rnacentral:rRNA from 1 species
AGCGAACGCUGGCGGCAGGCUUAACACAUGCAAGUCGAGCGGGCAUCCUUGUGGUGUCAGCGGCAGACGGGUGAGUAACGCGUGGGAACGUGCCCUUCGGUUCGGAAUAACUCUGGGAAACUUUAGCUAAUACCGGAUACGUUCGAGAGCAGAAAGGUUUAUCUGCCGAAGGAUCGGCCCGCGUCUGAUUAGCUAGUUGGUGAGGUUAUGGCUCACCAAGGCGACGAUCAGUAGCUGGUCUGAGAGGAUGAUCAGCCACACUGGGACUGAGACACGGCCCAGAAUCCUACGGGAGGGAGCAGUGGGGAAUAUUGGACAAUGGGGGCAAAUCUGGUCAAGCCAUGCCGCGGGAGUGAUGACGGGCUUAGGGUUGUAAAGCUCUUUUCGCCGGGACGAUAAUGACGGUACCGGAGGAAUAAGCCCCGGCUAACUUCGUG